AGAAGGCACCCAGGAUUUGCACGGGGGGGAUUCAGGGAGAGAGGGUGAUGAGGGACGGGGUGGGCCUUCCAGUCUUGGCCCAGUCCCCGUCUUGCACACAUUGUUGGCUUCCUCUUAGAGCCGUUCGCCCCCCUGGGGAGGGGAGACCCAUAGUGACCUCUCCUGACACCCGCCGACCCUGACCAGUGUGUUGCCCGGUUCUUCAAAGGCCACGCUCUGACUGCUGGUCUGUGUCACCUGCACCCCCCAGCCCCACCGUAGAGAUGCCUUCUUCGGUGACGGCGCUGGGUCAGGCCAGGUCCUCCGGCCCCGGGAUGGCCCCGAGCGCCUGCUGCUGCUCCCCUGCAGCCGUGCAGAGGAGGCUGCCCAUCCUGGCGUGGCUGCCCAGCUACUCCCUGCAGUGGCUGAAGAUGGAUUUCGUCGCCGGCCUCUCAGUUGGCCUCACUGCCAUUCCCCAGGCGCUGGCCUAUGCUGAAGUGGCUGGACUCCCGCCCCAGCUCACAUCUCCCCUCAUCCUCUGGGACUGGGUGGAGCUGGGACCAGCUCGAUGUCCCCUCUUGGCUGGCCAGGGUUCCUGCUGGACUUCAUUUCCUACCCCGUCAUUAAAGGCUUCACCUCUGCUGCU
rnacentral:sRNA from 1 species